rnacentral:rRNA from 1 species
GACAGAGGGUGCAAACGUUGUUCGGAAUUAUUGGGCGUAAAGAGCUCGUAGGCGGUCUGUCGCGUCGGAUGUGAAAAUCCAGGGCUCAACCCUGGACCUGCAUUCGAUACGGGCAGACUAGAGUUCGGAAGAGGCGAGUGGAAUUCCCGGUGUAGCGGUGAAAUGCGCAGAUAUCGGGAGGAACACCUAUGGCGAAGGCAGCUCGCUGGGACGUUACUGACGCUGAGACGCGAAAGCGUGGGGAGCAAACAGG